rnacentral:rRNA from 1 species
AUUGAACGCUGGCGGCAGGCCUAACACAUGCAAGUCGAACGACUGGCGGACGGGUGAGUAAUGUCUGGGAAACUGCCUGAUGGAGGGGGAUAACUACUGGAAACGGUAGCUAAUACCGCAUACUAUCGGAUGUGCCCAUAUGGGAUUAGCUAGUAGGUGGGGUAACGGCUCACCUAGGCGACGAUCCCUAGCUGGUCUGAGAGGAUGACCGGCCACACUGGAACGGAGACACGGCCCAGACUCCUACGGGGGGCAGCAGUGGGGAAUAUUGGACAAUGGGCGCAAGCCUGCUGCAGCCAGGCCCCGUGUAUGAAGAAGGCUUUCGGGUUUUAAAGUACUUUCAGCGGGGAGGCGGUACCCGCAGAAGAAGCACCGGCUAACUCCGUGCCAGCAGCCGCGGUAAUUC